rnacentral:rRNA from 1 species
GAUGAACGCUGGCGGCGUGCCUAAUACAUGCAAGUCGAGCGAACAGACGAGGAGCUUUUGCCUCUGCCGGUGGCGACGGACGGGCGGGUAACACGUGGAUCACCUUCUUCUUUUACUUGGAUAAUUUCGGGAAACCGGUUACACUAACACAGAAUAUAUUGAACCGCUUGGUUCAAUAGAGAUAGACGCCUUUCCUGUUUCAUUUAGCUGAUUCCGCGCCGGAUUAGCUAGUUGGUAAGGUAACGGCAUACCAAGGCUACGAUGCGUAGCCGACCUGAGAGGAUGAUCAGCCACACUGGAACUGAGACACGGUCCAGACUCCUACGGGAGGCAGCAGUAGGGAAUAUUCCGCAAUGGGCGAAAGCCUGACGGAGCAACGCCGCGUGAGUGAUGAAGGUCUUCGGGUCGUAAAGCUCUGUUAUUGGGGAAGAACAAAAGUGUGAGUAUAUAUGGAUGUCUUGACGGUACCCAAUCAAAAAGCAACGGCUAACUACGUG